UACAGAGGUCUCAAGCGUUGUUCGGAUUCAUUGGGCGUAAAGGGUGUGUAGGUGGCGCCGUAAGUCGGGUGUGAAAUUUCGGAGCUUAACUCCGAAACUGCAUUCGAUACUGCGGUGCUUGAGGACUGGAGAGGAGACUAGAAUUCAUGGUGUAGCAGUGAAAUGCGUAGAGAUCAUGAGGAAGACCAGUGGCGAAGGCGGGUCUCUGGACAGUUCCUGACACUGAGACACGAAGGCCAGGGGAGCAAACGGG
rnacentral:rRNA from 1 species